UGGGGAAUUUUACGCAAUUGGGGGAAACCCUGACGUAGCGACACCGCGUGAGCGAAGAAGCCCUUUGGGGUGUAAAGCUCUGUCAACAGGAACGAAACAAAUGACGGUACCUGUGGAGGAAGCAUCGGCUAACUACGUGCCAGCAGCCGCGGUAAGACGUAGGAUGCAAGCGUUGUCCGGAUUUAUUGGGCGUAAAGAGUUCGUAGGCGGUUUGUUAAGUCUGAUGUUAAAGACCGGGGCUCAACCUCGGAAAUGCAUUGGAUACUGGCAGACUGGAGUGCAGUAGAGGCUAGUGGAAUUCCCAGUGUAGCGGUGAAAUGCGUAGAUAUUGGGAAGAACACCGGUGGCGUAGGCGACUAGCUGGGCUGUAACUGACGCUGAGGAACGAAAGCCAGGGGGAGCAAA
rnacentral:rRNA from 1 species